GUAGCUAUGUAGGGAAGGGAUAAACGCUGAAAGCAUCUAAGUGUGAAGCCCACCUCAAGAUGAGAUUUCCCAUGAUUUUAUAUCAGUAAGAGCCCUGAGAGAUGAUCAGGUUGAUAGGUUAGAAGUGGAAGUGUGGUGACACAUGUAGCGGACUAAUACUAAUAGCUCGAGGACUUAUCCAA
rnacentral:rRNA from 1 species